GGGAUAAUAUUGUAUGUGUCUAUGGGUGAAAGGUGUUUUCGUAUCGCCUUGAGAUGAGCUUGCGGUCCAUUAGUUAGUUGGUAAGGUAAAGGUUUACCAAGGUGACGAUGGAUAGCCGGCCUGAGAGGGUGAAUGGCUACAUUGGGAUUGAGAUAUGGCCCAGACUCCUACGGGAGGCAGCAGCUAAGAAUAUUCCGCAAUGGGGGAGACCCUGACGGAGCGACGCCGCGUGAAUGAUGAAGGCCGAAAGGUUGUAAAGUUCUUUUAUAUGGGAAGAAUAAGGGUGAUAGUAAAAUGAUUGCCUGAUGAUGGUACCAUAUGAAUAAGCCCCGGCUAACUACGUGUUAGUAGUUGCGGUAAUACGUAGGGGGCAAGCGCUGUUCGGAUUCAUUGGGCGUAAAGGGCAUGUAGGCGGUAAGAUAAGUGUGGAUUUAAAGACCGGAGUUUAAUUCCGUGUAUGGUCUGCAAACUGUCUUACUGGAGAGUAGACGGGGAGACUGGAAUUCCACGUGUAGGGGUGAAAUUUGUAGAGAUGUGGAAGAAUAUUGGUGGUGAAGGUGAGUCUCUAGUCUAUUACUGACGUUGAUGUGUGAAAGUGUGGGGAGUGAACAGGAUUAGAUAUCCUGGUAGUCCACUCUGUAAACGUUGUACACUAGGUGUUGGAGGUAUUGAUUUUUUUAGUGCCGUAGUUAACGCGUUAAGUGUACCGCCUGGGGAGUAUGCUCGCAAGGGUGAAACUCAAAGGAAUUGACGGGGGCCCGCACAAGCGGUGGAGCAUGUGGUUUAAUUUGAUGAUAUGUGAAAAAUCUUACCAGGACUUGACAUUCAGACUGCGUCUCAGGAGAUUGAGAUUUUUUUUGGGGGUCUGAACAGGUGCUGCAUGGCUGUCGUCAGCUCGUGUUGUGAGAUGUUGGGUUAAGUUUCGCAACGAGCGCAACCCUUACCGUUAGUUAUUAUUAGGUUAUGUUGGGGAUUCUAGCGGAACUGCCGGUGAUAAACCGGAGGAAGGUGGGGAUGACGUCAAGUCCUCAUGGCCCUUAUGUCCUGGGUUACACACGUGCUACAAUGGGCUGUACAAAGAGUUGUAAUAUAGUAAGAUGGAGUUAAUUUUAAAAAGCAGUCCUCAGUUCGGAUUGGAGUCUGUAAUUUGACUCCAUGAAGUCGGAAUCGCUAGUAAUCGCAGAUUAGUAUGCUGCGGUGAAUACGUUCCCGGGCCUUGUACACACCGCCCGUCACACCAUCCGAGUCGAGGAUACCCGAAGAUAUUACUCUAAUUUUGGAGGAGGGUAUCGAAGGUAUGUUUGGUAAGGAGGGUGAAGUUGAAAUAAGGUA
rnacentral:rRNA from 1 species